CCUACGGGGGGCAGCAGUGAGGAAUAUUGGUCAAUGGCCGAGAGGCUGAACCAGCCAAGUCGCGUGAGGGAAGACGGCCCUACGGGUUGUAAACCUCUUUUGUCGGGGAGCAAAGAGAGUCACGUGUGACUCAUUGAGAGUACCCGAAGAAAAAGCAUCGGCUAACUCCGUGCCAGCAGCCGCGGUAAUACGGAGGAUGCGAGCGUUAUCCGGAUUUAUUGGGUUUAAAGGGUGCGCAGGCGGAAGAUCAAGUCAGCGGUAAAAUUGAGAGGCUCAACCUCUUCGAGCCGUUGAAACUGGUUUUCUUGAGUGAGUGAGAAGUAUGCGGAAUGCGUGGUGUAGCGGUGAAAUGCAUAGAUAUCACGAAGAACUCCGAUUGCGAAGGCAGUUCACUGGACUGCAACUGACACUGAGGCUCGAAAGUGUGGGUAUCAAACAGGAUUAGAUACCCUUGUAGUC
rnacentral:rRNA from 1 species